GGGAAGUGGUGACUCGGGGCUGGUGUGUGAGAUUCGGGAGAUAGGAUAGGCGCAGAGAGUGAGUUGUCCUUGCGUGGUAUGACCAUCUGAUAACUGGACCGCGGGGGCCAUUCCAGGUACCAGCACAGAGCCGAGGGGUGUGGGGUCCGAAGCACAGCCAGAGACACGACGGAAGCAGCAGGGUUCACACGGGGCACCUUCCUGCCAUUUUUAUUAAGGUGCCCUCUGUGGACGGCUCCCAGGCGGAAACCUACCAUCCAACAGAGACCAUGAACAGAAGGAGGAAAUGAAAAGUGAAAAAACAGCGGCUUUCCAGUUUCCCCCACCUUACUGCAAGAACAUAAUGUCUGCUUGCCUAGGGGGCUUAUGGGAAGAGCAAACGUGAACCCUGUUACCAUGACUGAGGCUAGACUUCGAUAAGAGAGACGAGGAGGAGAGGAGGGCUGAGGAAGGAAGAGGGAGCUGAUAAACCUGGCCUGAACCUCCUACGACACGCUAUGGCUCUCAUCUUAUCUCGCGGAAUCUGUUGCCAGCCAGAAUGUCACCCAUGGAGCUCUCAAUAUAGAAAGGAAAAGAAAGCAAGGAUCCAGAGGAGAGACUCAUCACAGACGGAGCUGCCACAGACCCCAACCCAUCUGGCCGCGACCUGGGAGAGCACACAGCCUCCUUCCAUUCUUGCGGAUGCAAGAGAUAACAGUGACUUCAUUCACCCCGCAUCAGCGAUAUUGCCUGGUCCACAGUGAGGACUCAGAAUUUGAGCAGAUGGAUGGACGGACAAAGUGAACUCAGUGCAGAGUCCUGCAGUGGCACCCAUGGUGGACUUCUGGACUCUGGGACUGCGAGGGAAGGAACUCCUGUUGUGUGAAGCCCCUCAGUCUGGAGCCAUCUGUUACAGCAGCAGGAGAAAGCAAGGGAGUCAGAAG